AUACGUAGGGUGCGAGCGUUGUCCGGAAUUACUGGGCGUAAAGAGCUCGUAGGUGGUUUGUCGCGUCGUCUGUGAAAUUCCGGGGCUUAACUCCGGGCGUGCAGGCGAUACGGGCAUAACUUGAGUACUGUAGGGGAGACUGGAAUUCCUGGUGUAGCGGUGAAAUGCGCAGAUAUCAGGAGGAACACCGGUGGCGAAGGCGGGUCUCUGGGCAGUAACUGACGCUGAGGAGCGAAAGCAUGGGUAGCGAACAGGAUUAGAUACCCUGGUAGUCCAUGCCGUAAACGGUGGGCGCUAGGUGUAGGGGUCUUCCACGACUUCCGUGCCGUAGCUAACGCAUUAAGCGCCCCGCCUGGGGAGUACGGCCGCAAGGCUAAAACUCAAAGGAAUUGACGGGG
rnacentral:rRNA from 1 species